rnacentral:lncRNA from 1 species
GCUGCAACGGGCGACCGGUAAAUCCAAAUCGCGGAACCCUCGGCUUCGUUGUCCUUUUUCUUUAGCAAUAUGGGUGAAUCGUGUUUGAGAUUCUAGGUUUUGACAAGGUCAUUCACCAACUAAAUUGCCUAAAUAGCACUGAUCGUAUGCAAUACAUCCAGCAUAGAAUGCACACAAACAGAUUUAACAGAGACUCCUGCAGGCUAGUCCUAGUAUGAAAUAAUUGUGGGAUCAGUCUCUCCCAAAAUGUCAUCCUUGGAUGCUUCCCUCAAAGAUAAUUAACAGAAGAUAUAUGCUCACAAAUUGCAGUGAUUAUGGGCCAUAGAAGCAGGUCCAUACAAAUAUACUUCUCUGUUCCAAAAUAUAGGUCGUUUUAGCAAGCUCCUUUAGCUUGCUAAAACGACUUAUAUUUAGGACGGAGGGAGUACAUGGGAUCAGUCUCUCCCAAAAUAUAAUUCUUAGAUGCAUCAAAGAUAAGUUGCAGAAAAUAAGUUACAAAUUGCAGUGAUUAUGGACCAUAGAAGAAGGUCCAUAAUGUUGUUCUCAUAAGUAUCAUAUCUUAACCUUAAUGGGUACUGCUUUGCCUUCAGACCGAGAUAUAGUUUAGGGUGAUUGGUGACCUUCAUGCAAUAGCUUGAAGCAGUCUUGGUAUUGGGGGUACUUCAAGUUCUAACAAACCCUCGAGGAUUUGAACCACUUCUCCCAUGGUCGGUCGAUUGGAUUCGCCAUCUUGGAUACACCAGCAAGCCACCUUGCAGACCCUCUCAACUUCAUCCAAGUUAACAUCACCAUGCAACUUGUCAUCCAAUAAGCCCGCAACGUCCCCCGCUAGGAAGUUUCCUUGCAACUUGAACCGGGAAAUAUGACGAAUGAUCACCAGUGCUGCUAUUCUCCUUACAUGUAUUGUUGCUACGACCUGAUACUAUUUCAAGCAACAUCACACCGUAGCUGUAGACAUCCACUUUUGGUGUAAUGGCCACUCCACUGAUCCAUUCAGGUGCAAGAUAGCCUAUAGUUCCUCUAAAUGUAGUCAAAACGCUGCUAAAAUCCCUCCCUAGAAAUUUGGCCAUACCAAAUUCUGCAACUUUAGGUACAAAUGAGGUGUCAAGAAGUAUGUUCUGUGGCUUGAUAUCACAGUGUAUGAUACAAUCCCUGCAACUAUCAUGCAAGUAUGCUAAUCCUCUUGCAAUUCCAAGGGCUAUUUGGUAACGGACACUCCAGCUUAGUAACUUUGUAUUGCUGCGGAAGAGAUGUACAUCGAGGGAAAGAUUUGGCAUGUAUUCAUACACAAGCAGUCUCAUACUGCCCUUGCAGCAAAAGCCAAUUAGUUUAACCAAAUUGAUGUGUUGGAUGAUUCCAAUUGAACUCACUUCGGCUCUGAAUUCCUUCUCUCCCUGACGGACACCAUCAAGCCUUUUCACCGCAAUAGCUGUAGAGUCAGUUAGUAACCCCUUGAAUACAGAUCCAAAGCUCCCUCCCCCUAGCUUCUCUGAGAAAUUUUUGGUUGCAUGUUGCAGAUCAAUGUAUCUGAAAGCUACAAUUCCAUUGCCACCUUGUGCAUUAUUGUACAUGCCGGUAGUGUGCUUCCUUUUGCUCCUCCAUAUCAGCAGAAACCACAUGACAACUGCCAACAAAACCAAAGCAACGGCACUUGCAGCAGUAGUAGCCCAAAUAACCCCCUUCCCUCUCUUUGUAUUUCUCCAACUUUCUGCAUCCUUGGCAGAGAUGCGUAAGUAGAGAACCUCUUCAUUUCUAGUAGUUCCAAUAUCACCUUGUUUGAUGUUAAGCAAGUCAUCAUACCAGAGGGAGCAUCUGUUGCUGUAGGAAUAUGCAAUGCAAGAGCAAUUAUCUAGGCAAGCUUGUGCACAAUGGUCUAUGCUCCCAACAGCUUCUAUAACUAUGGGCAUUGCAGGCAGUUUGACCUUUGUCAUGGGGUAGAACUUGUCAGUUGUUGCAUUUCUGCUUUGAUUCCUGGCACCGCAGUCCAGUGGCACAUUUCUUAUGCACCCGCCAGAUCGGUCCACUACCUUCCAAUCCUUAGGUGACCUUAUUGAGAAGCCCUUCAAGCAAUCACACACUUGGGCUGUGUUGCUGUUGCAGAUUGUGAAUGGUCCACAUGUAGCAUAGACAUCACAUUGAUCUUUAGGCUGGGUGAAGACCGUCACCCAAUCUUGUGAACUUUCAACCCAGAUGAGUUGCUUUUCCUGUCCAGUAAUGUCCAAAAGGCUAACAGAUAUCAGCUUGUCAUCUGUAACAUUUUUUAUGAAAUACUCCUCUUUGUCAUUGUUGACAAAUUUAAAUGUAAAAAGAUUGGCUCCAUUCAUUUCUGGCAUCGAGUUGAAGUAAUGACCAUUCCAUUCCCCACUAGAGUAAUAUACUAUGGACGAGUUGCAUAGUUUGUAGAGGAAUUGGCCAGGACCAGUUGUAUCUAAUUCCACACAAUAACGGCCAGGAGCUGGAUCAAUCAAGCUCUUCUUGGAAACAAGGUGACGGAUCAAACCGGUGACCUUAUCCACGCCUUGCUUUGCACCAGGGAGCAGACCAUCAAUAGGGUAAUCAAAGCUCUGCCAUAUGACGUUGGAUGAGUUAGAUGCAUCUCCUAAGAUGAGGUUCCCAUUGUCCAUGAGCACAACUGUAGUGUUCUUGGCUGUGAUAUUAGCAUGGGUCGACCAAAUUGUCGAUUUGGUGUCUUUAUUUAAGAUGACAAGGUUACCAUCAUCGGAGAUCGUGAGCUCCGACAUUUCAAGGUUUACAAUUGGUCUGUCCCUAUUUGCAACCCAUACUGGGGUUAACUUGGGUAUCUUACCAAACCAUAAGCCUAUGUACCAGUGAGCGGGAGUCUGUUGGGAGGAGUACUCACUGCCUGGUUGGAAGAAGCCGAGCACGAACUUGCCAUUGCGAGAGACGAGCCUGUCAUCGCCGGUGAGGCGAUCACCGGCUAAAAUCGUGCUUCUUGCUGCAGAACAUGGGGUGUGGAAGGCGGAGAUGAGAAGUAUGAAUAGGAUGGCAACAAGAGGCAUUGUGGUUGAAGGUUGGAUGCGGUCCCGGGUCAUGUUUUAACAUUUGGGGGUGAAGAGUCCUAUAAUACACGGUAGUGUGAUAUGGUGACUGAUACUACUUCUGUCAUCUCACUGCUAAUUCAUGGUCUUGGCCUCUUUGGGCGGUGGACUAUAACUUGACAUUGAGGCAAAGUUGGGUGGCUGUGGACUAGGACUGGCGAGUGACGCAUCCAUUCUGAAAUCUGGAAGAGGACGACGACAUGGACGACAUGCAUCACGCAUGUCAUACGAGCGGACAGAGCAUAACCACAUGGGGGUUGCAGAUAGAAUAUUCUACUGUGCUGCCCUGCUGUCAGGUUGGGUGACUGGGAAAGCCCCUAUGACCGCUGUGUAAACUAUAGAAUGGUUUAACUGGUCAAACAAGAGACAGGGAAUCUUGGAUCCGGCGAGCUAACGGAGCCGAGCGGGCGAUGCGGGGGGCGAUUGGUGGCACGACCGCCGGGAUCCCCGCGGGGCCGCCGCCCAUCUCCUCCGAUGAUCGCCGGAAGGUGGGGGGCCGGUUCUGGGCCCUAACCGAAGAUGUUGACGGCGAGGGAGACGAGGAUGCGGAUGCGGCGGCGCCGCCGUCUCCACCAUCGGUGACUCCCUCGGACUUCCUUUGCGAUCUUUUGAGCGCCGGGUACGACGAAGACGAGGUGGCUUCAACCGUUGACAAGAUCCUCCCCGUCGAUGAUCCGGCGAGAAUCGGGCUUCAUGCGGGGGAGACAACGGAGAUGUUGCGCCGAGUUGUUCACCGGCGAACGGCGGCGGCGGCGGUUCGACCCUGGAAGGGUCCAUUGCCUAAGGUAUGUCUUUCGAAUUUGACCCUUUUUGAUAUGAUUCGGCCGGAUUCAUGGACUUUGGUGAAGAGACGUAAGUUUGCACGCCGGAAAAGCUCUCGAUCGGCGCCGGAGGUGACCGUGGCAUCGUCGCCGGCGGUCACGGCGAUUCAGAUCAGAGACGCCCGCCAGGAGCGUUUGAAUUUGCUCCUGGGCCGAGCCGAGUCACAAGCUGUUGGGCCGGUUGGCAUUAUUGGGCCGAGGUCUGGUGGGUAUGAGGCCCAGCCGGAAUCGAUUCCAAUCGAUACUGAGGGGGGGGGGGCGCAUGCACGUACCGAUCGUCUUCGCCUACUCCGUCGCCGCGCCCUAGGGUUCUGUUGCGUCGAGCGCCGCGCCUGCGUAUUGCGGGACCUGGCCGGGCUCGCCGCAUUCCUCCUCUCGGCGUGAUAGCUGGUUCUGGAGGUGCGCCCCUCCCGAAAAGCGGCCGCCUCCGCCUAGCGGGGCUAAUCGGGCUAAUGGGGCGCCGCCGCCGGGCCAAGGCAGUGGCCGGGGCACGCUGCCGGUGCCGGCGUCGGGUGCUGGAUGUGGCGGCGUGGCGCUUCCCAAGGCCGCUGCGGGACGCGGGUCGGGUGGCCCUGGUGCGAUACACUUUGAUGGCGGGGCGCCCGUUCGGAGGCCGCCGGCUCCGGCCUUGCCGUCGGGCGGGCGAGGCGGGCCGGGCUCCGGUCCUCGGCCGGUGGCUUCCGGCGGUGCUGCGGUGGCCGCUGCGGGCCAGGGCGCUGCGCCACCAAGGCCACCUGUGGCUUCGGGUCCGCUGCCUAGACCGGCCCCUCCACCCCACGUCGUUGCUCGCCCGUCUCCGCCAUCGCAGUCCAACGUCGGUGGUACUGUGGCUGCGCCCCGGGGUCAAUGGGGGGAUGACGGCUACGAUGCCUAUGGGGAUGGCCAGCACCGUGGUUCUUCGUCCACGGGUGGAGGUCGUGGUUAUGCAUGGCAAAGCGAUGGUUCGGCUGAGAGGCCGUUCUUGGGUCCUUCCGGUGGCUUCGUUGAGGGGCCUUCUGAUCCGGGUAAUCGGCAGCGAGGAGGUUUCCGUGGCCAUCGUGGUGGUCGGGGCGGUCCAGGGUGCCGAUACCGUCCACGACCACCGCCCCCACCUGUUGUUGUCGAGAAGAUGACAGAUAACGGGGCUGCCGAGGAGCCAGUGCUGACCGGUCACGCUAUGGAGGUGGUGACGGCUCUUGCUACUGUUCAGGUUCCUGAGAACGAGGUUAUGGCUGAUGUGUCUGUGGAGAUGACGGAUAGGGCUGAGUCUGAUAGGGCGUCCAAAUGGGCGCGCAAGAAGGAAAAGAUGCUUUGUUAUCGAUGUGGCGACAAGGGCCACUUCAUUGCGGAGUAUGUGGCUCUGCUUUGUGAUACCUGCGGUAAGCCGGCACACGACUCUGGGGACUGUCGGAUUCUGCGAGAUCAGGCACCGUCGCUUAUGAUGUAUGGAGUUUACUGUGCUGAGCUAACGUUUUUCGAGUCUCUGAAUGAGCGAGAGGUUACUGAUGAGACCCCGAGCAUGACUACGGGGAUUGUCAAGGUCACCAGAGGGGAGGUCUCUGAGACACAGCUCGUGCAGAGGCUUCGGGAGCUGGCCCCUGGGGAUUUCCAGUGGGACCUCGUCAGCCUCGCUGAUAAGAUGUUCAGAGUUGAGUUUCCUUCGGUGGAGGAUCUGCAGAGGUUGCUGAGUUUUGGGAUGUGUAAAGUGCUCGGAACUGAGUGCAUCCUUGAGUUUCAGGAGUGGAAGCAGGUGGAGCCUCAGGGUAAGCCGCUUACUCAGGCGUGGUUGCGAUUUUCCAGGGCCCCCUCCAAGCCGUUGCAGGAUGCUCGGGUUGUGGCCAGUUUGGGCAUUUUGGUGGGGAAGCCUGAGCGAGUGGAUAUGGCGUUCACCAGAGCUCACGGGAUUGCUCGGGUUCUGGUUAGUAUUCUGAACGUUGAGUAUGUGCCGGAAGUGGUUAAGUGGGCUUAUCGAGGCAUGAUUUAUAAUCUGGUUAUUGAGUUUGAGGAUGAGAGCAUUUUGGCUGCGACGGCUCACGGGUCCGACGUGGAUAUGCACGAGGGUGACGGCAGCGCGGGAGCAAUGGAGCCGCCGGUCGAGGACUCUGGACGACAGAUGUCCAAGGGACCGGGGUCCGAGCCCGCGAUGACCGGGGAUGGAGCGGCUCCACCCUCCUCGGUGCCUACGACGACUCUGAGAUUUGGGUCCUUCGAACCCGCUUCUGCACCCCCGAGGUUGUGGAGUGAACGGGUUGAGUCCGAGGAGGCUUUUGAGCUCGUGUUGCCUGCCUUGGGGUUUGAGGAUUCUGUGUGUUCUAUUCCUGGGGUUCCUGGGGCUUCGUCAAUCUCGGUCUGGGGAGAGGAGGAGGUGAGUCGGCAGGUGGCCACUCCCUCUCAUGCUCAGCACGCUGUCCCUCCUCAGGGCGUGCUGCCGGUGUUCGUGGCUGGUUUGUCAGGAAGGGUCCCGGGGCAGGCGGCCUCGGGUUGCUCUUCUCCUGCAGAGGUAGGGGAUUCGGGGCAGGUGGCACCCGUGUCCUUCUCUACGUUGGGAGGGGGCCUGGGGCAGGUGGCCUCGAAUACCUCCUCUCCCGUCGCGUCUACCUCUCUGCUGGUGGCGACUGUGCCAUCGGGAAGGGGCUCGGGGCAGGUGGCCUCGGAGCCUUCUUCUCCUGAGGCGCCUAUGGUGGUGGCCUCUCCGGUGCUGGGUGGGGAGUUAGGGCAGGCGGCCCAUGCACUCCCUUCACCCCGUCCGCCGCCGGCUCCGUCCUGUGGGGCGCGCCAGACGUCUGAGGCCAUGGUGAGUGCCUUUCCACUUCCUGGCGAGUCUGCUGGGGAGUCCGUGCAGACGGUCCGGCCUAGCGGUUGGGGUGAGGUAGGAGGCCCUACCCCGGCCAGGAUCUCUCGGGAGGAGGUUAUUGCGUUUGGAGGGAUUCAGGAUCCGAUGUCUGAGGGGCGACGGGUGAGUGGCCGUCUCCAGACUCAGCCGGAUGUGGACGACAUUCAGCAGCGGUGCGCCAUGAGGGCGGCCAAGCUCCGUGACGUUGAGGUCACUACUGGUAUGUCGGUUAUGUUGGGAAUCGUAGCAUAAUUUUAAAUUUUUCCUACGCUCACAAGGAUGCAUCUAUGGAGUCUACUAGCAACGUGGGAAAGGAGUGGAUCUACAUACCCUUGUAGAUCGUGAGCGGAAGCGUUCCAAUGAACGUGGAUGACGGAGUCGUACUCGCCGUGAUCCAAAUCACCGAUGACCGAGUGCCGAACGUACGGCACCUCUGCGUUCAACACAUGUACGGUGCAGCGACGUCUCCUCCUUCUUGAUCCAGCAAGGGGGGAGGAGAGGUUGAUGGAGAUCCAACAGCACGACGGCGUGGUGGUGGAUGUAGCGGGUCUCCGGCAGAGCUUCGCCGAGCUUCUGCGAGAGAGAGAGAGAGAGAGGUGUUGCAGGGGAGGAGGGAGGCGCCCAAGGCUGUAGGUCGCUGCCCUCCCUCCCCCCCUUUAUAUAGGCCCCCUUGGGAGGGGGGCCGGCCAAAACCCAUCUAGGGUUGGGGGGGCGGCGGCCAAGGGGUGGAAAGGGGUGCCUUGCCCCCCAAGGCAAGGGGGAAGCUCCCCCCCUAGGGUUCCCAACCCUAGGCGCAUGGGGGGAGGCCCAAGGGAGGGGCGCCCCAGCCCACUAAGGGCUGGUUCCCUUCCACUUUCAGCCCACGGGGCCCUUCGGGACAGGUGGCCACACCCGGUGGACCCCCGGGACCCUUCCGGUGGUCCCGGUACAAUACCGGUAACCCCCGAAACUUGACUUUCUAUAUAUAAUUCUUCACCUCCGGACCAUUCCGGAACCUCUCAUGACGUCCGGGAUCUCAUCCGGGACUCCGAACAACUUUCGGGUUUCCGCAUACAUAUAUCUCUACAACCCUAGCGUCACCGGACCUUAAGUGUGUAGACCCUACGGGUUCGGGAGACAUGCAGACAUGACCGAGACGCCUCUUCGGUCAAUAACCAACAGCGGGAUCUGGAUACCCAUGUUGGCUCCCACAUGUUCCACGAUGAUCUCAUCAGAUGAACCACGGUGUCGAGGAUUCAAUCAAUCCGUAUGCAAUUCCCUUCGUCAAUCGGUAUGUUACUUGCCCGAGAUUCGAUCGUCGGUAUCCCAAUACCUUGUUCAAUCUCGUUACCGGCAAGUCUCUUUACUCGUACCGCAAUGCAUGAUCCCGUGACUAACGCCUUAGUCACAUUGAGCUCAUUAUGAUGAUGCAUUACCGAGUGGGCCCAGAGAUACCUCUCCGUCACACGGAGUGACAAAUCCCAGUCUCGAUCCGUGCCAACCCAACAGACACUUUCGGAGAUACCCGUAAUGCACCUUUAUAGUCACCCAGUUACGUUGUGACGUUUGGCACACCCAAAGCACUCCUAUGGUAUCCGGGAGUUGCACGAUCUCAUGGUCUAAGGAAAAGAUACUUGACAUUGGAAAAGCUCUAGCAAACGAAACUACACGAUCUUUUAUGCUAUGCUUAAGUUGGGUCUUGUCCAUCACAUCAUUCUCCUAAUGAUGUGAUCCCGUUAUCAAUGACAUCCAAUGUCCAUAGUCAGGAAACCAUGACUAUCUGUUGAUCAACGAGCUAGUCAACUAGAGGCUUACUAGAGACAGGUUGAGGUCUAUGUAUUCACACAUGUAUCACGAUUUCCGGACAAUACAAUUAUAGCAUGAAUAAUAGACAAUUACCAUGAACAAAGAAAUAUAAUAAUAACCAUUUAUUAUUGCCUCUAGGGCAUAUUUCCAACAGUCUCCCACUUGCACUAGAGUCAAUAAUCUAGUUACAUUGUGAUGAAUCGAACACCCAUUGCGUCCUGGUGUUGAUCAUGUUUUGCCCUAGGGAGAGGUUUAGUCAACGGAUCUGCUACAUUCAGGUCCGUGUGCACUUUACAAAUAUCUAUGUCUCCAUUUUGAACACUUUCACGAAUGGAGUUGAAGCGACGCUUGAUAUGUCUGGUCUUCCUGUGAAACCUGGGCUCCUUCGCAAGGGCAAUAGCUCCAGUGUUGUCACAAAAGAGAGUCAUUGGGCCCGACGCAUUGGGAAUCACCCCUAGGUCGGUAAUGAACUCCUUCAUCCAGACUGCUUCCUGUGCUGCCUCCGAGGCUGCCAUGUACUCCGCUUCACAUGUAGAUCCCGCCACGACGCUUUGCUUGCAACUGCACCAGCUUACUGCUCCUCUAUUCAAUAUAUACACGUAUCCGGUCUGUGACUUCGAGUCAUCCAGAUCUGUGUCGAAGCUAGCGGCGACGUAACCCUUUACGACGAGCUCUUCGUCACCUCCAUAAACGAGAAACAUAUCCUUAGUCCUUUUCAGGUACUUCAGGAUAUUCUUGACCGCUGUCCAGUGUUCCUUGCCGGGAUUACUUUGGUACCUUCCUACCAAACUUACGGCAAGGUUUACAUCAGGUCUGGUACACAGCAUGGCAUACAUAAUAGACCCUAUGGCCGAGGCAUAGGGGAUGACACUCAUCUCUUCUAUAUCUUCUGCCGUGGUCGGGCAUUGAGCCGUGCUCAAUUGCACACCUUGCAAUACAGGCAAGAACCCCUUCUUGGACUGAUCCAUACUGAACUUCUUCAAUAUCUUGUCAAGGUAUGUACUCUGUGAAAGACCAAUGAGGCGUCUUGAUCUAUCUCUAUAGAUCUUGAUGCCUAAUAUAUAAGCAGCUUCUCCAAGGUCCUUCAUUGAAAAACACUUAUUCAAAUAGGCCUUUAUACUUUCCAAGAAUUAUAUAUCAUUUCCCAUCAAUAGUAUGUCAUCCACAUAUAAUAUGAGAAAUGCUACGGAGCUCCCACUCACUUUCUUGUAAACACAGGCUUCUCCAUAAGUCUGUGUAAACCCAAACGCUUUGAUCAUCUCAUCAAAGCGAAUGUUCCAACUCCGAGAUGCUUGCACCAGCCCAUAGAUUGAGCGCUGGAGCUUGCAUACUUUGUUAGCAUUCUUAGGAUCGACAAAACCUUCCGGCUGCAUCAUAUACAACUCUUCCUUAAGGAAGCCGUUAAGGAAUGCCGUUUUGACGUCCAUCUGCCAUAUCUCAUAAUCAUAGUAUGCGGCAAUUGCUAACAUGAUUCGGACGGACUUCAGCUUCGCUACGGGUGAGAAAGUCUCAUCGUAGUCAACCCCUUGAACUUGUCGAUAACCCUUAGCGACAAGUCGAGCCUUAUAGAUGGUCACAUUACCAUCCGCGUCCGUCUUCUUCUUAAAGAUCCAUUUGUUUUCUAUGGCUCGCCGCUCAUCGGGCAAGUCAGUCAAAGUCCAUACUUUGUUUUCAUAUAUGGAUUCUAUCUCGGAUUUCAUGGCUUCUAGCCAUUUGUCGGAAUCCGGGCCCGCCAUCGCUUCUUCAUAGUUCGAAGGUUCACCAUUGUCUAACAACAUGAUUUCCAGGACAGGGUUGCCGUACCACUCUGGUGCGGAACGUGUCCUUGUGGACCUACGAAGUUCAGUAACUUGAUCCGAAGCUUCAUGAUCAUCAUCAUUAACUUCCUCCCCAGUCGGUGUAGGCACCACAGGAACAUCUUCCCGCGCUGCGCUACUUUCCGGUUCGGAAGGGGUGACUAUCACCUCAUCAAGUUCCACUUUCCUCCCACUCAAUUCUUUCGAGAGAAACUCCUCCUCUAGAAAGGACCCGUUCUUGGCAACGAAGAUCUUGCCUUCAGAUCUGAGGUAGAAGGUAUACCCAAUAGUUUCCUUAGGGUAUCCUAUGAAGAUGCAUUUUUCCGAUUUGGGUUCGAGCUUUCAGGUUGAAGUUUCUUGACAUAAGCAUCGCAUCCCCAAACUUUUAGAAACGACAGCUUAGGUUUCUUCCCAAACCAUAAUUCAUACGGUGUCGUCUCAACGGAUUUCGAUGGAGCCCUAUUUAAAGUGAAUGCGACAGUCUCUAAAGCAUAACCCCAAAAUGAGAGCGGUAAAUCGGUAAGAGACAUCAUAGAUCGCACCAUAUCCAAUAGAGUGCGAUUACGACGUUCGGACACACCAUUUCUCUGAGGUGUUCCAGGCGGCGUGAGUUGUGAAACUAUUCCACAUUUCCUUAAGUGUGCACCAAACUCGUGACUUAAAUAUUCUCCACCACGAUCUGAUCGUAGGAAUUUUAUUCUCCUGUCACGUUGAUUCUCAACCUCACUCUGAAAUUCCUUGAACUUUUCAAAGGUUUCAGACUUGUGUUUCAUCAGGUAAACAUACCCAUAUCUACUUAAGUCAUCAGUGAGAGUGAGAACAUAACGAUAUCCUCCGCGAGCCUCAACACUCAUUGGACCACACACAUCGGUAUGUAUGAUUUCCAAUAAGUUGGUUGCUCGCUCCAUUGUUCCGGAGAACGGAGUCUUGGUCAUCUUACCCAUGAGGCAUGGUUCGCACGUGUCAAAUGAUUCGUAAUCAAGAGACUCCAAAAGUCCAUCUGCAUGGAGCUUCUUCAUGCGCUUGACACCAAUGUGACCAAGGCGGCAGUGCCACAAGUAUGUGGGACUAUCGUUAUCAACUUUACAUCUUUUGGUAUUCACACUAUGAACAUGUGUAACAUCACGUUCGAGAUUCAUCAAAAAUAAACCAUUGACCAGCGGGGCAUGACCAUAAAACAUAUCUCUCAAAUAAAUAGAACAACCAUUAUUCUCAGAUUUAAAUGAGUAGCCAUCUCGAAUUAAACGAGAUCCAGAUACAAUGUUCAUGCUCAAAGCUGGCACUAAAUAACAAUUAUUGAGGUUUAAAACUAAUCCCGUGGGUAGAUGCAGAGGUAGCGUGCCAACGGCGAUCACAUCGACCUUGGACAUUCCCGACGCGCAUCGUCACCUCGUCCUUUGCCAGUCUCCGUUUAUUCCGUAGUUCCUGCUUUGAGUUACAAAUAUGAGCAACCGCACCGGUAUCAAAUACCCAGGAGCUACUACGAGUACUGGUAAGGUACACAUCAAUUACUUGUAUAUCACAUAUACCUUGGGUGUUGCCGGCCUUCUUCUUGUCUGCUAAAUAUUUGGGGCAGUUCCGCUUCCAGUGACCACUUCCCUUGCAAUAAAAGCACUCAGUCUCGGGCUUGGGUCCAUCUUUUGACUUCUUCCCGGUAACUUGCUUACCGGGCGCGGCAACUCCCUUGCCGUCCUUCUUGAAGUUCUUCUUACCCUUGCCCUUCUUGAACUUAGUGGUUUUAUUCACCAUCAACACUUGAUGUUCUUUUCUGAUCUCCCCUUCCGCUGAUUUCAGCAUUGAAUAUACCUCGGGAAUGGUCUUUUCCAUCCCCUGCAUAUUGUAGUUCAUCACAAAGCUCUUGUAGCUUGGUGGAAGCGACUGGAGGAUUCUGUUAAUGACCGUGUCAUCCGGGAGAUUAACUCCCAGCUGAGACAAGCGGUUGUGCAACCCAGACAUUCUGAGUAUGUGCUCACUAACAGAACUAUUCUCCUCCAUUUUACAGCUGAAGAACUUGUCGGAGACUUCAUAUCUCUCGACCCGGGCAUGAGCUUGAAAAACCAGUUUCAGCUCCUCGAACAUCUCAUAUGCUCCAUGUUUCUCAAAACGCUUUUGGAGACCCGGUUCUAAGCUGUAAAGCAUGCCGCACUGAACGAGGGAGUAAUCAUCAGCACGCUGCUGCCAAGCGUUCAUAACGUCUUGGUUCUCAGGGAUUGGUGCUUCUCCUAGCGGUGCUUCUAAGACAUAAUCUUUCUUGGCUACUAUGAGGAUGAGCCUCAGGUUCCGGACCCAGUCCGUAUAGUUGCUGCCAUCAUCUUUCAGCUUGGUUUUCUCUAGGAACGCAUUGAAAUUGAGGACAACGUUGUCCAUUUGAUCUACAAUACAUAGUGUAAAGAUUUUAGACUAAGUUCAUGAUAAUUGAGUUCAUCUAAUCAAAUUAUUUAACGAACUCCCACUUAGAUAGACAUCCCUCUAGUCAUCUAAGUGAAACAUGAUCCGGGUUUAACUAGGCCGUGUCCGAUCAUCACGUGAGACGGACUAGUCAAGAUCGGUGAACAUCUCCAUGUUGAUCGUAUCUUCUAUACGACUCAUGCUCGACCUUUCGGUCCUCCGUGUUCCGAGGCCAUGUCUGUACAUGCUAGGCUCGUCAAGUCAACCUAAGUGUAUUGCGUGUGUUCCGAGGCCAUGUCUGUACAUGCUAGGCUCGUCAACACCCGUUGUAUUCGAACGUUAGAAUCUAUCACACCCGAUCAUCACGUGGUGCUUCGAAACAACGAACCUUCGCAACGGUGCACAGUUAGGGUGAACACUUUCUUGAAAUUAUUAUAAGGGAUCAUCUUACUUACUACCAUCGUUCUAAGCAAAUAAGAUGCAAAAAUAUGAUAAACAUCACAUGCAAUCAAAUAGUGACAUGAUAUGGCCAAUAUCAUCAUGCUCCUUUGAUCUCCAUCUUUGGGGCACCAUGAUCAUCUUUGUCACCGGCAUGACACCAUGAUCUCCAUCAUCAUGAUCUCCAUCAUUGUGUCUUCAUGAAGUCGUCACGCCAACGAUUACUUCUACUUCUAUGGCUAACGCGUUUAGCAAUAAAGUAAAGUAAUUUACAUGGCGUUAUUCAAUGACACGCAGGUCAUACAAAAUAAUAAAGACAACUCCUAUGGCUCCUGCCGGUUGUCAUACUCAUCGACAUGCAAGUCGUGAUUCCUAUUACAAGAAUAUGAUCAAUCUCAUACAUCACAUAUAUCAUUCAUCACAUCUUCUGGCCAUAUCACAUCACAUAGCACUUGCUGCAAAAACAAGUUAGACGUCCUCUAAUUGUUGUUGCAAGUUUUUACGUGGUUUGUAGGUUUCUAGCAAGAACGUUUCUUACCUACGUAUGACCACAACGUGAUUUGCCAAUUUCUAUUUACCCUUCAUAAGGACCCUUUCAUCGAAUCCGUUCCGACUAAAGUAGGAGAGACAGACACCCGCUAGCCACCUUAUGCAACUUGUGCAUGUCAGUCGGUGGAACCUGUCUCACGUAAGUGUACGUGUAAGGUCGGUCCGGGCCGCUUCAUCCUACAAUGCCGCCGAAACAAGAAAAGACUAGUAGCGGCAAGAAGAAUUGGCAAACUCAACGCCCACAACUACUUUGUGUUCUACUCGUGCAUAGUAACUACGCAUAGACCUGGCUCAUGAUGCCACUGUUGGGAAUCGUAGCAUAAUUUUAAAUUUUUCCUACGCUCACCAAGAUGCAUCUAUGGAGUCUACUAGCAACGAGGGGAAAGGAGUGGAUCUACAUACCCUUGUAGAUCGCGAGCGGAAGCGUUCCAAUGAACGUGGAUGACGGAGUCGUACUCGCCGUGAUCCAAAUCACCGAUGACCGAGUGCCGAACGUACGGCACCUCCGUGUUCAACACACGUACAGUGCAGCAACGUCUCCUCCUUCUUGAUCCAGCAAGGGGGGAGGAGAGGUUGAUGGAGAUCCAACAGCACGACGGCGUGGUGGUGGAUGUAGCGGGUCUCCAGCAGAGCUUCGCCGAGCUUCUGCGAGAGAGAGAGAGAGGUGUUGCAGGGGAGGAGGGAGGCGCCCAAGGCUGUAGGUCGCUGCCCUCCCUCCCCCCCUUUAUAUAGGCCCCCUUGGGAGGGGGGCNNNNNNNNNNNNNNNNNNNNNNNNNNNNNNNNNNNNNNNNNNNNNNNNNNNNNNNNNNNNNNNNNNNNNNNNNNNNNNNNNNNNNNNNNNNNNNNNNNNNNNNNNNNNNNNNNNNNNNNNNNNNCCAAGGGGUGGAAAGGGGUGCCUUGCCCCCCAAGGCAAGGGGGAAGCUCCCCCUAGGGUUCCCAACCCUAGGCGCAUGGGGGGAGGCCCAAGGGGGGGGGGCGCCCCAGCCCACUAAGGGCUGGUUCCCUUCCACUUUCAGCCCACGGGGCCCUCCGGGACAGGUGGCCCCACCCGGUGGACCCCCGGGACCCUUCCGGUGGUCCCGGUACAAUACCGGUAACCCCCGAAACUUUCCCGGUGGCCGAAACUUGACUUCCUAUAUAUAAUUCUUCACCUCCGGACCAUUCCGGAACCUCUCGUGAUGUUCGGGAUCUCAUCCGGGACUCCGAACAACUUUCGGGUUUCCGCAUACAUAUAUCUCUACAACCCUAGCGUCACCGGACCUUAAGUGUGUAGACCCUACGGGUUCGGGAGACAUGCAGACAUGACCGAGACGCCUCUUCGGUCAAUAACCAACAGUGGGAUCUGGAUACCCAUGUUUGCUCCCACAUGUUCCACGAUGAUCUCAUCGGAUGAACCACGGUGUCGAGGAUUCAAUCAAUCCGUAUGCAAUUCCCUUCAUCAAUCGGUAUGUUACUUGCCCGAGAUUCGAUCGUCGGUAUCCCAAUACCUUGUUCAAUCUCGUUACCGGCAAGUCUCUUUACUCGUACCGCAAUGCAUGAUCCCGUGACUAACGCCUUAGUCACAUUGAGCUCAUUAUGAUGAUGCAUUACCGAGUGGGCCCAGAGAUACCUCUCCGUCACACGGAGUGACAAAUCCCAGUCUCGAUCCGUGCCAACCCAACCGACACUUUCGGAGAUACCCGUAAUGCACCUUUAUAGUCACCCAGUUACGUUGUGACGUUUGGCACACCCAAAGCACUCCUACGGUAUCCGGGAGUUGCACGAUCUCAUGGUCUAAGGAAAAGAUACUUGACAUUGGAAAAGCUCUAGCAAACGAAACUACACGAUCUUUUAUGCUAUGCUUAGGAUUGGGUCUUGUCCAUCACAUCAUUCUCCUAAUGAUGUGAUCCCGUUAUCAAUGACAUCCAAUGUCCAUAGUCAGGAAACCAUGACUAUCUGUUGAUCAACGAGCUAGUCAACUAGAGGCUUACUAGGGACACGUUGUGGUCUAUGUAUUCACACAUGUAUUACGAUUUCCGGACAAUACAAUUAUAGCAUGAAUAAUAGACUAUUAUCAUGAACAAAGAAAUAUAAUAAUAACCAUUUAUUAUUGCCUCUAGGGCAUAUUUCCAACAGGUUAAUACUUCUAGUUCCAUUCUGCAUUUUUCUAAUGAUGAGAUUGUUGAAAAUGCAAAUCAAUUAGGAGUUUCACUAGGUAGUAAUGCUACUGAAAUCUCUAAUUCUGUUAAUGAUCUUCUGGAUCUAGAGGCUGAGCGGGCCUUAGAGAUGAUUCGUAAUUUAGCGGCGGUUAAACCCAUGAGUGAUUCUGAGGUUGAUGCGUUGGGGGUUAGGGUGCUCGACAAUUUUUGUGCGAAUCUUAUUCCUCCCAUACCUGAGGCGGAAGAAGAGGAUGAUACUUCUGAGAUGGUUAUGGCUGGACCUUCUGAGACUGGUUGUGAGGACCGGUUGCAGAGUCAAAAUGUCUCUAAACGCAAGUGGAAACGGAAGGUGUUCCCGGUGUCCGCAGUGCGUAGGAGUGCUAGGAUUCGUACGGCUAAAAAAUUCCAUGAUGAACUAUGAAAGGAAUCUUUUGGAAUAGCAGAGGUCUAAAGAACUUGGCUAAAAGAAGGUUUCUUGCUGAGGCAUCUAUCGAGCAUCGAUUAGAUUUUAUCGCUCUAUCGGAGACAGGUAGAGAUAAUUUUGCGCCACAAUUUCUAAAUACUUUGUCGGGAGGUAUUGAUUUUGAUUGGCAUUGCCUGCCAACGAGAGGGAGAUCGGGUGGAAUCUUACUCGGCGUUCGAUGCGAAGCGCUCGAGGUUCGAAGUGUGGUAAUGGGUGACUUUGUAGUCAAGUUUCGGGUGCGUUCGAAGGACGAUGGGUUUAAUUGGGCUUUGGUUGCGGUAUAUGGUGCCGCUCAGCCCGAACUCAAGCCCGAGUUCUUGGCUGAUCUCGUUAGGAUUUGCGGUGACGAGCAGCUUCCUAUCCUGGUGGGGGGUGAUUUCAAUAUCGUUAGAAGGCGUGAUGAUAAGAACAAUGAUAACUUUGACGGCAGAUGGUCGUUCAUGUUCAAUACUAUCAUUGAAAGUCUUGACCUGAGAGAAAUUGAGCUCUCGGGUAGAAAAUUCACCUGGGCUAACGCGCUGCCAAAUCCGACGUAUGAGAAGAUGGAUCGAGUGUUGGCUAGUGUCGAUUGGGAAUAGAAGUUUCCGCUAGUCACAGUUCAGGCUUUGUCCCGUGGAAUUUCUGAUCACACGCCAUUAUUUGUGGACUCUGGUGAGGCCACCCACCUGGGAAACAAAAACUCGUUCUCCUUUGAGCUGGCUUGGUUUGAACGACAAGGUUUCUUUGAUCUCGUAGCCAGAGAGUGGGCUAAGGAUUCAGGAGGGAAGACUGCGCUUCAGCGCUGGCAGAAUAAGAUUAGGCAUUUGAGAAGUUUCCUGCGUGGGUGGGCUAAGCAUCUUAGCGGGAUUUAUAAGGUCGAAAAGGAAAGGCUCCUCUCCCUUAUUCAGUCCCUAGAUGUAAAAGCAGAAACCACGGUGCUGCCGGCCGCGGAGCUUCAUGCCAAGCUUGACGCGGAGAUGAGGCUGAAAGAACUUCUUCGAGAAGAGGAAUUGAAGUGGGCGUUGCGGGCCAAGGUCCGACGAGUAGUCCAGGGGGAUGCGAACACUCAAUUCUUUCACAUUAUCGCUAAUGGUAAACAUAGAAAGAAGAGGAUCUUUCAGCUUGAGCAAGAUGAAGGAAUAAUUUUAGGACAGGAAAACCUAAAACUGUACAUUACAGAGUAUUACAAGCAACUGUUUGGUCCUUCAGAGGAUAACUGUGUGUCUCUGGAUGAGUCCAGGGUUGAGGAUGUUCCUCAACUCACAGCGGUGGAGAAUGAUAUUCUAGCGGCUCCUUUUUCUGAGAAAGAGGUGUUUGAGGCCAUUUCGCAAAUGGAAAAUAACAAGGUGCCGUGCCCGAUGGAUUUCCUGCGGAGUUUUAUAAAAAGUGCUGGCAUAUUAUUAAAGGGGAUCUGUUGCCUUUGUUCAAUGAUCUCUUCUCUGGGCAGCUUCAGCUUUUUCAGCUGAAUUUUGGAACGAUAACCCUUCUUCCUAAGAAAACAGAGGCUGUGAGAAUUGAGCAAUUUAGGCCCAUCUGUCUUCUUAAUGUAAGUUUCAAAAUCUUUACCAAGGUCGGGACGAAUAGGCUCACACAGAUCGCGCAUGCUGUGGUGCAGCCUACCCAAACUGCUUUCAUGCCGGACAGGAACAUCCUUGAAGGGGUUGUGGUCCUUCAUGAAACGCUCCAUGAGAUCCACAUGAAAAAGCUGGAUGGGGUUGUUUUCAAAGUGGAUUUCGAGAAAGCGUACGACAAAGUCAAAUGGCCCUUCCUUCAACAGGCCUUACGCAUGAAGGGUUUUGAUGAAGCUUGGCGACGCCAGGUAGAAUCCUUCACGCAACAAGGGAGUGUUGGAAUUAAAGUGAAUGACGAUAUAGGUCAUUAUUUCCAGACACACAAAGGCCUGAGGCAAGGUGAUCCAAUGUCCCCUAUUUUGUUCAAUAUUGUGGUUGAUAUGGCAAUUCUCAUAGGUAGGGCAAAGGAGGUCGGUCAGGUGGGUGGCUUGGUGCCUCACCUAGUUGAUGGGGGUGUGUCCAUUUUGCAGUACGCUGAUGAUACAAUCAUCUUUAUGGAGCAUGACUUGGCAAAAGCGAGAAAUAUGAAGCUGGUGUUAUGCUUAUUUGAACAAUUGACCGGAUUAAAGAUUAACUUUCAUAAAAGCGAGUUGUUCUGCUUUGGUAGAGCCAAGGAGGAACAAGAGGCUUAUAGGCAAUUGUUUGGAUGUGAAUUAGGGGCUUUACCUUUUACUUACCUAGGUAUACCCAUUCACCAUCGUAAGCUAACAAACAGAGAGUGGAAAUGCAUCGAGGAUCGGUUUGAGAAGAAACUUAGUUGCUGGAAGGGCAAACUUAUGUCUUAUGGAGGCCGGUUGAUUCUUAUCAAUUCGGUGCUCACGAGUAUGCCCAUGUUCCUACUAUCUUUCUUUGAAGUUCCAGUUGGGGUUAGGAAAAGGCUGGACUUCUACCGAUCAAGAUUUUUUUGGCAGAGUGAUGAACUAAAGAGUAAGUACCGACUCGCCAAAUGGGAUAUCAUCUGUAGACCAAAGGACCAAGGGGGUCUGGGUAUUGAGAAUCUUGAGGUCAAGAACAGAUGCCUUCUUAGUAAGUGGCUGUAUAAGUUAUCAGUUGAUCGAGACUGACGCAACAUGGGCGCAGAUUCUCCGUAACAAGUAUCUGCAGUCCAAAACUUUGUCACGGGUGACAGUGAGACCAACGGAUUCGCCGUUUUGGAAGGGGCUUAUGAGAGUUAAGGCAUCCUUCUUUAAUAGAACAAAGUUUAUAGUCGGUGAUGGCAACAAUACCCGUUUCUGGGAGGAUACUUGGCUUGGUGAUACGCCAUUGGCAUUCCAGUACCCGUCCCUGUAUCGUAUUGUUCAACGAUGUGAUGCGCUAGUUGCAACGAUUAUGCAGUCCAUUCCCCUUAAUAUCCAGUUUCGGAGGGUGCUUGUUGGUGAUAGAUGGGAAGCAUGGCUUCAUUUGGUGAGUAGAAUGAUGGAGGUUCAGCUAGCUCAUCAGCCCGAUCAGUUGUGUUGGAAACUUACUAGGUCUGGAGAAUUUACGGUUAAGUCGAUGUAUAUCGAUGUCAUUAACUCUAGUGUCAUUCCUAGUUCCAAACAUGUUUGGAAAGUAAAAGUUCCUUUGAAGAUUAAAGUGUUUAUGUGGUUUGUACAUAAACAAGUCAUUUUAACAAAGGAUAACUUGGUUAAGCGCAAUUGGACAGGAUCUACUAGGUGUAGUUUCUGUGAUCGGGACGAGACCAUUAAGCACCUCUUCUUUGAGUGCCCGUUGGCGAGAGUUUUGUGGCGCACCAUGCAAAUUGCCUUUAACAUUACUCCUCCGAAUUCGGUCGGUACGUUAUUUGAAACGUGGCUUGAUGGGAUAGAGUCCGAUACAGCUAGACACAUUCGUGUAGGAGUAUGUGCGUUGUUAUGGGCAAUUUGGAACUGCAGAAAUGAUUUGGCUUUUAACAGAACAACAACUAUUCAUUUUUUGCAGGUUUUAUUCCGAGCUACGGCGCUGAUCCGUAUGUGGUCCUUACUCACUCCGACGGAAGCCAGGGAGCGUUUGGUUACUGAAUCUGUCCGAUGGGAGAUGGUAGCGCGGGAUAUCUUCAACCGGUUGGGAUGGUGGUCAUGUAAUAGGAUAGGCGAUUAGUUCUCCUAUCUUUUGUUUGCCAGCCGGUGGUGGCUCCAUGGCUUUUUUAUCUUUGGCGUUGAGGCUCUCUGUGAGCUAGCCUUUAUUUUGUUUCCAGACUUUAAGACCUUGUUGAACCUAUUUUAUUUAUAAUUGUGGCCGUAUGCAUCAUUCUGAUGCAGAGGCUGGGGAGUCCCUCUUUUCAAAAAAAAAAACUGGUCAAACAAAAUCUCCUAGAAUAUAAGGCCUUUUCACAUAGUUGACAGGAAGAGGUACAGAAAUUUUGAACUGACCAGUUCCACAUGAACAAUGAU